GCCAAUGUAGCUCAGGGGUAGAGCACUUCCAUGGUAAGGAAGGGGUCGGGGGUUCGAUUCCCUUCAUUGGCU
rnacentral:tRNA from 1 species